GGCAAGACAACAAAUACAAGAGGCAUUCACAUUCUCAGAUAAAUUGCACAAGGUGAUGACAACGGUGUUGAAGAUGCCAUCACACUGCCGAGGAUGCAUCAAGAAGAUUCAAGAUCUGGACAGGAAGACCAAGGGGUUUGUGGAGAUAUCGAUUGAUAAGAGCAAUGAUUUGGUGAGGGUGAAAGGAGCAAUGGACAUGAAGUUAUUGACGACAACUUUAAGGACAAAAUGAAUAGA